rnacentral:rRNA from 1 species
CGCGUAGGUAACCUGCCUUGUAGCGGGGGAUAACUAUUGGAAACGACAGCUAAUACCGCAUAACAAUGGAUGACACAUGUCAUUUAUUUGAAAGGGGCAAUUGCUCCACUACAAGAUGGACCUGCGUUGUAUUAGCUAGUAGGUGAGGUAACGGCUCACCUAGGCGACGAUACAUAGCCGACCUGAGAGGGUGAUCGGCCACACUGGGACUGAGACACGGCCCAG